rnacentral:misc_RNA from 1 species
GUUGCCUCAAUCUGGAGCACAACACAACAUUGAACAGAGAGUGCACUUGCACCCACGGCCGCCAUGCGGAGGACGACUUAAUCAAUGAAAAUUCAGUGAGCGUGAGCGUUAGAGCCAGUGUCAGUGUGGAGGGGUAUUGGGUGGGUAUUAGGUCGGGGGAUGCCCAUAGAUUCUUUGCUGUGCCUUUGCGUUCGACAGCACCAAAAACGUGAAUGCGGAACUCUAUUGAUUUUGCAAUAAAAAUGCGCGCGCAUGGCGCUGUUCUGCUCUGAGAUUUUUGUGCCCCCCCAAACCGGAGAGCAGGCUCCAAAGCUAACAUGUGCCACACGACCCCCGAACGAAGUGGCAUCUCGUGGGGCACGCGACGGUGGCGGCAUGUUGUCGGCGGUCAGUGAGGCGCCAGAGAGCGGAGCGGAGCAGAGCCGAGUGCAUUCUCCAUUCGCCAAUCCGAAAUCACUCGCAGCGCGAACUCUGUGCAGAGCAAAGCCAGAGCCUUGGGCCCAGUCUGAAAAUUGUCACGAGCCCCAAGCACGGCAGCUGCUAGCUGCUGGUCGCCAAUCAAGCGAAAAAUAAUUACCAAAAAUACUAGAAAAAAAGACCAAUAAAUAAAUCUAGCAAUCAGAAAUCAGCAAAUGGAUCCAACAGCUCAAAGAGAACGACAGCUUUGAAGAGGGAGCGGCGAAGGCGACGGAGAGAUAUCCUGACCAAGCAAAGCACGUGAUGCAAUUGGUUUCCGUAUGGGGCAAAAUUUUGUAAAGUGAAAGCAAAUAAAAAUCGAUCGAAAAGUGUCACUCCAUCUGGAACAUCAAAAACGUGCGCGCAGCCCGUGUAACUUGCAGAUUCGAAUCCCACGUCCCCCCGCACAAAGCAAAAAGCAUACGCAAACGAGUGGGCCAGCGUUAUAUAACACACAGAGGCACAGGCAAAGGCUCAGGCUCAAGCUCUUCACCCUCCCACGCAAAACUGCUUGCUCAAUCGAUAGACUGCCCUGCCUGCUUCACUGCCUCACUGCCUGCCAAUCCAAGACGAUGUGUGCUCCUAAUUAGAUUACAGCCCAGGGAUUAACCAGCAGAACCUAGAACAGAGGAGAACAGAAAACCUGCCGUUUGCCACCAGUUUAACGCAAGUCCGCAAACACACAGCCGCACGAAAUGGGCAAAAAAAAGGUGGCCGAAGAGGAUCUGGUUGUGCCGCCACAGGACACCAGGAUCUGUGGCACCAUCUGCAUCUGCCAGAUGACACUGGUGCUCAGUUCAGUGGCCCUGGUCUACCUCACGGUGGCCAUAUACAUGCCGUCCACGCGUGCCUUCAAGAGCGGCAUCGACCCAACACCCGUGAUGUGCACCACCACGCGGGCCCUGAAUAAGGACAACUGCGAGUGGGGCAGCUGCGGGGAGUGGUGCCUGAGCAAGACGUCAGGUGCCUGCAUCCAGAUCUACGUGAAUCUACGCAGCAACGGCUCCAAUCUCAUCUUCCAGAACUGCACGAACUCGGCGAACAAGACGUGCUACGGCAUCGACCAGGACCGGGCGGACAAGGCGCGCUGCAUCAACGAUGAGUGCAAGAACCUCACAGGCACUUUCAACUGCACUGCCGGCCAGUGCCUGAACAUCACGGACGCCUUCGAGUGCAUCUUCCACAACAGCGAUGCCCCGGUCAAGUGCUCUGGUCGUCGCGGCAAGAUCAACUGCAUGGACAUCAGCGGGCUGUAUUCGUGCAGCCGCGGGACCUGUCGCAAGAUCCGCACACCCUACAACUGCGACCGCCGGUGCGUGGACAUCCCGACCAGGAACAAGAACGUUGUGGUGCUCAGCGGGGACAAGGUCUAUCUGUCGCAGUGCCAGAACGCCAUCAAUGCCGAGACCCUGGAGGAGGUGUGGAACGAGUCCAGCGAGAAUGUGGCCAUGACUUCGUGCUACUUCAUCAAGAACACCUCGGAUCGCGUGGACGCGGUGGACUGCAUCAACGGGUCGACGCUGGAGCACAAUAUGCUCAGUGAUCUGACCAAUUUCACAUAUCUGAGCCACCUGCACGUCUCGGUGGCCACGCCCGUGCCGGAGAUAGCACCGCCCGAUGUCGAUCUGACCAUCUCCAAUGAGUCCAAGCUCAUGAUUAAUCUCGAGGGGUGCGUCAACACCCUCAUGGACGAGUGCAAGGAGUUCCUCAAGGACUUUGGACGCGACGGCAGCGAUCAUAACGCUCGCGCACGCUUUCCGUGCUUCUACUCGCCCGGCAAGAAGGACAUUGUGGUGGCCCGGUUCGACCUGGAGGUCACCUAUCGCCAGUUUGUUUUCGCCUCGGUGGUGCCAUCGGUGCUCUUUGUCGUCUCCUGCUCCAUCCUGCUGAUGUGCCAGAAGACCGUCUACGUGGGCGACGAUGCCAAGAUGCGAUUCAAGGGCUGCGUCGACACCGAGACCAUCCUGAACAAGAACAACGUCGGAGCACCCACCAACGGCGACAUGGGCGGGGGCGGUGGCGAUGAGGUUAUGGCCCUAUGAGAUCCGUCACGUAAGCAAUCCCAGUACUAUUCAAAGGGACCCAAAACAGUAUUCCAGAUAACCACUGAGUAUUUUCUGUCGACUUUCCGUCUUACAGCCGCCUUUGCCAUUGCCCACAUGUGAGAGGUUCGACUACCAAUGGGUGUCCAGGCAUUCCUCUGCUCCAGGAAGACAGUCCGAUACAUCAGACUGGGGUCUUCGCUUUGCAAUAAUUGGAGUUGGCCAAAACAGCGACUACCAGAAGAAGAGCACAAUCGAGCAACUUGAAAUUCUUUGUAAUCCUUCCAUUGAACUUUUAACAAACGACCACAACCACACAGCCACACCCACAGCCACAGCCACACCCACACCAACCCAAAGGCUUGCAAGGACACUGCUGAGCUAACAGCAGAAAACCCAAAUACUUGAAACAGAAACUGAAACACUACGAGGCAAGGAGAAGGCGCG